rnacentral:rRNA from 1 species
AGCGAACGCUGGCGGCAGGCCUAACACAUGCAAGUCGAACGAACCUGCCGGGGUUAGUGGCGGACGGGUGAGUAACACGUGGGAACGUGCCCUUAGGUUCGGUAUCAUUCAGGGAAACUUGUCCUAAUACCGAAUGUGCCCUUCGGGGGUAAGAUUUAUCGCCUUUAGAGCGGCCCGCGUCUGAUUAGCUAGUUGGUUGAGGUAAUGGCUCAGCAAGGCGACGAUGAGUAGCUGGUCUGAUAGGAUGAUCAGCCACAUUGGGACUGAGACACGGCCCAAACUCCUAGGGGAGGGUGCAGUCUCGACCCCUGCGGGAUGCACCAUACCCCGACGCCGCCGUGCGGGGGGCAUGCCCAAAGGGUUUGCACUGCGAAAUCGUUUCUCCGGCGCCGCUACUGACGGUAGUGGGAGAAGAAGCCCCGGCUCACUUCGUG